UUAAAUAGUACGUGAAAUUGUUGAAAGGGAAACGAUUGAAGUCAGUAUGCCGGCGGGAAUCAACUUAGGGGAAACUCUGGGUGCACUUCUUCGUUUGGCAGGUUACGUCGAUUUUGGAUGUCAUAAAAUAAUUGGGGGAAGGUAGCUCCUUCGGGAGUGUUAUACCCUUGGUAGAUGUGAUGUUUGGGAUCGAGGAUUGCAACGGAUACCCUUCGGGGCUAGCGCCUAAUCUCUAAUUGGUGUUGGGUUACGGACAGCAUGCUGACCGUGAUCUAAUUACUGUUAAAAGGUUAGAGCGUGCAUAAAUUCGUUAAGGACGCUGACGUAAUGGCUUUAAACGA
rnacentral:rRNA from 1 species